rnacentral:rRNA from 1 species
UACUCCUACGGGAGGCAGCAGUAGGGAAUCUUCGGCAAUGGACGGAAGUCUGACCGAGCAACGCCGCGUGAGUGAAGAAGGUUUUCGGAUCGUAAAGCUCUGUUGUAAGAGAAGAACGAGUGUGAGAGUGGAAAGUUCACACUGUGACGGUAUCUUACCAGAAAGGGACGGCUAACUACGUGCCAGCAGCCGCGGUAAUACGUAGGUCCCGAGCGUUGUCCGGAUUUAUUGGGCGUAAAGCGAGCGCAGGCGGUUAGAUAAGUCUGAAGUUAAAGGCUGUGGCUUAACCAUAGUACGCUUUGGAAACUGUUUAACUUGAGUGCAAGAGGGGAGAGUGGAAUUCCAUGUGUAGCGGUGAAAUGCGUAGAUAUAUGGAGGAACACCGGUGGCGAAAGCGGCUCUCUGGCUUGUAACUGACGCUGAGGCUCGAAAGCAUGGGGAGCAAACAGGAUUAGAUACCCUGGUAGUCCACGCCGUAAACGAUGAGUGCUAGGUGUUAGACCCUUUCCGGGGUUUAGUGCCGCAGCUAACGCAUUAAGCACUCCGCCUGGGGAGUACGACCGCAAGGUUGAAACUCAAAGGAAUUGACGGA